rnacentral:rRNA from 1 species
UACGUAGGGAGCAAGCGUUUGUCCGGAAUCAUUGGGCGUAAAGCGCGCGUAGGUGGCUUCGUAAGUCCGUUGUGAAAGUCAAAGGCUCAACCUUUGAAAGCCGAUGGAUACUGCGGAGCUAGAGUACGGAAGAGGCGAGUGGAAUUCCUGGUGUAGCGGUGGAAUGCGCAGAUAUCAGGAGGAACACCAAUAGCGAAGGCAGCUCGCUGGGACGUUACUGACAUUGAGGCGCGAAAGCGUGGGGAGCGAACAGG